rnacentral:rRNA from 1 species
AGGUCACUGCUAUCGGUGUUCGAUUAAGCCAUGCGAGUCGUGAGGGGUAAAGCCCUCGGCGGAGUGCUCAGUAACACGUGGACAACCUACCCAAGAGUCAGGGAUAACCCCGGGAAACUGGGGAUAAUACCUGAUAGGCCAUGACAUCUGGAAUCGAGUUGUGGUUUAAACGUAAGGCUCUUGGAUGGGUCUGCGGCGGAUUAGGUUGUUGCCGGUGUAACGUACCAGCAAGCCUGUAAUCCGUACGGGUUGUGGGAGCAAGAGCCCGGAGAUGGAUUCUGAGACACGAAUCCAGGCCCUACGGGGCGCAGCAGGCGCGAAAACUCUACAAUGCAGGCAACUGCGAUAGGGGAACAUCGAGUGGCAUCCACCAUGGAUGUCUGUCCAAUCGUCUAAAAAACGAUUGUCAGCAAGGGCCGGGCAAGACCGGUGCCAGCCGCCGCGGUAAUACCGGCGGCUCGAGUGGUGGCCGAUAUUAUUGAGUCUAAAGGGUCCGUAGCCGGCUUUGCAAGUCCUAUGGGAAAUCCAGCGGCUUAACCGUUGGGCUUUCAUGGGAUACUACAUUGCUUGGGACUGGGAGAGGUAGGAGGUACUCAGGGGGUAGGGGUGAAACCCUGUAAUCCUUUGGGGACCACCGGUGGCGAAGGCGUCCUACCAGAACAGGUCCGACGGUGAGGGACGAAAGCUAGGGGCACGAACCGGAUUAGAUACCCGGGUAGUCCUAGCCGUAAACGAUGCUCGCUAGGUGUCACGGCAGUCGUGAAUUGUCGUGGUGCCGUAGGGAAGCCGUGAAGCGAGCCACUUGGGAAGUACGACCGCAAGGUUGAAACUUAA